rnacentral:ncRNA from 1 species
CUAAAUCACAUAAACAGAACAAGUACUCAAUUGACCACUUCCUGACAGAGACUUUUUUAUUCGCUGAGAGAAAAAGCUGGAAACCAUUGAUGAACACAUCUGUUUCAGACAUUUUCUGAAUCAAGUAAGAAGGUGCGGUAUUCUCCGUUAUCAGAAAAGAAUCUUUAGCUGAGCUAAAGAUUCCAUGAGGUUAAUCCUGUGAGGGAUUAACAAAUUGAGGUGGAACCACGAUUAUUUCGUCCUCUUG